rnacentral:rRNA from 1 species
AGAGUUUGAUCAUGGCUCAGGACGAACGCUGGCGGCGUGCUUAACACAUGCAAGUCGAGCGGUAAGGCCCUUCGGGGUACACGAGCGGCGAACGGGUGAGUAACACGUGGGUGACCUGCCCCCUACUCUGGGAUAAGCCUGGGAAACUGGGUCUAAUACCGGAUAUGACAUAGUCCUGCAUGGGGUUGUGUGGAAAGCCGGGGAUAUUGUUUCUGGCGGUGGGGGAUGGGCCCGCGGCCUAUCAGCUUGUUGGUGGGGUGAUGGCCUACCAAGGCGACGACGGGUAGCCGGCCUGAGAGGGCGACCGGCCACACUGGGACUGAGACACGGCCCAGACUCCUACGGGAGGCAGCAGUGGGGAAUAUUGCGCAAUGGGCGGAAGCCUGACGCAGCGACGCCGCGUGGGGGAUGACGGCCUUCGGGUUGUAAACCUCUUUCGGCCCCGACGAAGCGUGAGUGACGGUAGGGGUAGAAGAAGCACCGGCCAACUACGUGCCAGCAGCCGCGGUA